UACGAAGGGGGCUAGCGUUGCUCGGAAUCACUGGGCGUAAAGCGCACGUAGGCGGCUUUUUAAGUCGGGGGUGAAAGCCUGUGGCUCAACCACAGAAUUGCCUUCGAUACUGUAGAGCUUGAGACCGGAAGAGGUAAGUGGAACUGCGAGUGUAGAGGUGAAAUUCGUAGAUAUUCGCAAGAACACCAGUGGCGAAGGCGGCUUACUGGUCCGGUUCUGACGCUGAGGCGCGAAAGCGUGGGGAGCAAACAGG
rnacentral:rRNA from 1 species